rnacentral:sRNA from 1 species
CCAUAGUCAGGAUGGGCCUUCGGGCGGAGCCUGGACGCGGUAUAGCAGGUAGUCACGCGUUACGAAAGAACACCGGCAGUC